UACGUAGGGGGCAAGCGUUGUCCGGAUUUACUGGGCGUAAAGAGCGUGUAGGCGGCCAAGCAGGUCCGUUGUGAAAACUGGAGGCUUAACCUCCAGACGUCGACGGAAACCGCGCGGCUAGAGUCCGGAAGAGGAGAGUGGAAUUCCUGGUGUGAGCGGUGAAAUGCGCAGAAUAUCGAGGAAGACACCAAUGGCGAAGGCAGACUCUCUGGGAGCGGUA
rnacentral:rRNA from 1 species